UACAGAGGUCUCAAGCGUUUGUUCGGAUUCAUUGGGCGUAAAGGGUGUGUAGGUGGCGCGCUAAGUCGGGUGUGAAAUUUCGGAAGCUUAACUCCGAAACUGCAUUCGAUACUGGCGUGCUUGAGGAGCUGGAGAGGAGACUGGAAUUUGACGGUGUAGCGGUGAAAUGCGUAGAUAUCGUAAGGAAGACCAGUGGCGAAGGCGGGUCUCUGGACAGUUCCGUGACGCU
rnacentral:rRNA from 1 species